ensembl:snoRNA
GCUCUGUGAUGAAGCCCAUGCGUGUCAUCUGAGCCUGACUUUCCUCUUUUAGCCCAGGUAGUGUUCUACUUCCCAGGGCUGUCAUGUUGACCUAGCAGGGAAGUCAUGGGCAAAGGAUCACUCCUUAAAUUCUGAGAGC